CGAGAGUUAGGAAGAAAAAAAAAAAAAAAAAAGACCGACAAUCCCAAGUGUUGGAGAAGGGACGGCAACACUGCUGUGUGUAGUGUAACUUGAUUCAACGGCUUCAUAAAAUGUUUCUUGGGUCAACCGAAGCGAAUCAUAAAUCAGAGUCUAUGACUCAGUAAUUGGCUUCCUAGCACUCUACCCAAUAGGAAGGCAGACACGGAGUCACCCAAACACACAUACCAGAAUGUCCCUGGAGGCAUUAUUUGUCAUAGUCAAAACAUAGCAACAGCAAAGACUCCCUACAAUGGAAUGGACCUAGAAACUGUGCACUAUUCACACCACGAAAUUCUCUAGAGAAUGAGACGAGACCAUCCGCAAGCGCGGCCAACUCGCACAAAGAGCGUGUGAGUGAAAUAAGCCCGACACGAAAGCAUAUGUACAGCACGAAUCCAUCUGUAUAAGGCACAAAAUAGGCCAAAUGAAUUCUGGUCUAAGAAUUCAUGACAGCAGAGGUUGUCUUCUGGGAGCGGGUAGUGGUUGGAAAGGGUCUCGACGGAGGCUCCUGGGAUUCCGGCGAUCUCUGCUUCUUGAUCUGGUGCUUUCCCUCUGGGGUGUUCAGUUAGGGAAAAUACAUUAAGCUGCACAGACUGUAAGAGCACCGUGCCGUCGUCCCUCCGCAGCCCCGUUGGGUGGGAGGGGGACUGGUUCCAGGACCGAGAUCUGCGCAUGCUCAAGUGCCAGAGUCGGCCCUCUGUAUCCGCGAGUGGAUUCAACCAAUCGCGGAUCUUAAACAUAGGACGUGCUCCGUGAUUGGUUAAAUCUGAGGCUACAAAACCCGCGGGUGCUAAGGGCCUACUCUGCCUCCGAAGGAAAUGGCGAUUGUUGGCCGAGGCCUGCCUGGAAUCAUUUUGUCCCGUUGAGUGCUUCUAAAGCCUAAGAGGUUGCUGACAGUACUAAGAGGUUGUUGGAAGUCCUUUUAUACUUGAAAGUGACAACUCCUGAAAGGGGAUAAGUAGCUGAAACCAGGACGCAGAUGGCAUUGCCCUUCACGCGUGGUGGUGAUAAAAGAGGCUGCUCCUGACAACUGCAAGAUGACGUCUCCUUUGGAUUGCGGCAAAGGUUCAGAUUUCCUGGAUCAAAUGUUCCCAAGGCCCGCGAGGUCGUGUGGUUUCAGAGACAUAAGCCAAGCUUGGUGUCUAUUACAGAGAAGCCACCCCAUCCAGGUGUGACCGCUCCAAAGAAAUGCUGUGGUUCCCGUGAAACGAGAUACGUAGGGGUGUUUUCUCAACAGUGAUGCCUUAUGGAGUUCAAAGUAAGUUUCAUCAUGUUCAGCUCUUAAAAGAUCACUGUAGUGAAACUUCUUUGUUCAAUUCCCCGGGUUAUCCCUUCUGAGUAAAAACAGAGAAAAGAAAAGCAGGCUCAACACCUUGGCCGAGGAGAGGGAAAUUCUUGAUCACAAUCCCGUGAACUCUGUAGUGAGGAAAAACACAGAGACUGGUGUUAGGAAGAGAUGGUGGAGGCUGGACCACAAAACACAGUAAAUCUUUACGAGGAUGGAUGCGGGCCGUCAUGUGACCUGGGCUCGGCCAAUUGGAUGCUCCCAGGGUGGAAUUUAACUCUCCGGUAGAGGAACAAGGAAAUUGAAAACAGUCGCUUUGGGUUCCACGGCAGCCUCCGGAUCCCUGUGCCCCUGCUCUGUGCAGAUGUCCUGGUCUCUGACCCCCCGGUCUUCAUUGCCCAGCCUGCUCUUUGGGUCAAUUUGUCCUUUCUAAUACAUUUCUAAUGCAUUUUCUCUAGCCUAAGCCAGAUUGAUUUCUGUUGCUUGCAACACACGAGCCCUGCCAGAUACCUGCCCUAACGUGUCUUAUAAGCAUGACACCAAAACUACUCAUCUUCCCUGAACCUCUUCCAUGCACCGUGUGUGGUGCACCCCAACUGCUCCCUUAAUAUCAAACUCUUAGAAACCACUGACUUCUUCCCCAUGGGACAAAUAUUUACUGAGUAUCUAGGCAUCGUUUUGGGUACUGUGCAUCAAUGAACAGAAUAGACCAAAUCCUGUGUCCUCCUGAGUUUUCAUCCUCAUGGUGGAAGAUAGAUAAUAAACAAAGUAGAUAUGUGUAUGUAUAUGUGUAAUUAGUCAGAUACUAAAGUGCCUCGGGAAAACAAUGACACUGAGAAAGAGGACAGAAAAGAGCCCAAGGCAAAGGGUUGUUGCAAUUUUGAGUUACAAAGGAAGGCUCACGAGCAGAGGACAUGUAUCUGAAAGACAUAGUGGAGAGAUAGAGAGCCAUGUGGAUACCAGCAGGAACAGCAUUUCUGGCAGAGGGAACAGACGAUGCAAAGUGUCCUGGUGGAAAGUUGCCACCAGCGUUGAAGGGACGAGAACACUGCAGUGUAGCUGGAGUUGAGUGAGCAAAGGAAAAAGUAAUAGGCAUUGAGGUCAGGGAAGUAACGGGGAGUAGGGGGCAAUCAAGGUAGGGCCGUUGUUAGGACUUUUUUUACCAUAAGUUGAGAAAAGAUUGGGUUUUCUUUUCUCGUGACACAGGAGUACCUGUGCAUUUCUCUUCUGUACCAGCAUCUGUUGGCUCUCAAGGACCUUUGCCAUCUGGGCAUGACCCAGGCCUUCCAUCUCUGGCUUCAGGGCGCUGCCCCGCUUCGCCAGCCAGCCCGCUCUGAUCCACUCCCCAAACUCCGGCAUCCAUGAAGGGCUGUUUCCAAUCCCAUCUUAUCCUGACAUUUUCCUCCCAUCUCACCCACUUCUGAACCUCUUGUGGACUGACCUCCAGCAGAGACUUAGCACACAGCCCCUUGUAUUUUAUUGACUGUUUCGUGCCUGCCUUUUGUCCACCCCAAAACGAGAGAUUGUAAACUGUGGGAACAAAGGCAUCAUGGCUCGGCCUCUUUGUCACCCCUCCAGAGCACGAUGAAAAGCGGUUUCAUGUUACUGGAAACAAUCUCGGGGCUCUCAGCACGUCUGGGUUCUGUUUCAAAGGUUUACAAUGGCCCCUUCUUUCCUAGGGGGUCUUGAAACGUCGCAAAUGAAUGUGUAACUACACGGUUUGCGGAGUAACAGAACGGAGUUCCAGGGGAGACCAAGCAUCACAGUCCAUUAAAUCCGGGGUGUUCAGGGCAAGUCUCAACAGGCCUUGGUCCAGCAAUCAAGGGACUCGGGGCCAGGCCAGCCAAGGUGUUGGGGCUUUGUCCGGCCCGAGAACAAGCUGUGAUUGUCCACCCAGCACCGGCUGGGACCAACAAGCUUUCCCUCUGCGGCUGAAUGGCACACACAGCCUUGGGACCCCAGAUCCCGUGCAAGGUUAACUAGGAUUCUGUAAACAUUAACACCCACGGGAACGGUGUGCAGUAAUUAUGGAGGAGAGCACCGGGCCCCUAAGUACUUGUCAGUUUACAGAACGCACUCUGCAGGCCGGAGUGCAAAUGUAACGCGCGCGGCGAUGUUUAUAGCUGUCGCAGCUCUGUAAACAGGCUGCCUGGGCAGGGACACUGCGUUGGCGUCUUUGUGGGAAUGUACCUGCAAAAGCAGGCUGCAGACGCCUCCCUAGACAGAUGCCUGAACUCACAAGGCCUCCAGACCCUUCACAGCAACUUCCCUCUUUUGCUUACAUGGAUGCCAGGGGUACAAAAGAAAAUCUCUGACUUUGGUGGGGAAAAAAAAAAAAAGCCCUCAAACAAAAAUCAUGUUGUCCAGCUCUUACUCCCAGGGGGUUUCCGCGGAGACAGAAUACAUGCCUAUUUCUCAAACUCCUAUAUUAGGAGUUCCUAGAGUCAGACGAUCUGGGUUUGGUCACAUCUGUGCCCUUAAAUAAUUGUGCAGGAGUUCCCGUUGUAGCUCAGUGGGUUAAGAACCUGGCUAGUAUCCACGAAGAUGCGGAUUCAAUCCCUGGCUUCGUUCAGUGGAUUAAGGA